CAGUCCCCACCGGAUAAACCCUAGCCUCACCAAGCCCCACAUCUCGCGCUCCUCCCUCCUCCAUCCUCGUUAGCCGCCGCUGCCGUUCUGCCUCCCUCCUCUCUCCCCUACAACCACGUCGCCAGGAGGAAACCGCCGUUCGUGGCGCCAUGCCGCUGCCGGGGUGUUGUGCACACUUCGUUCCCCACAGCUCCUCCCUCAUCCUCGCUCAUCACCGCCGCUGCCUGCUACUCCCCUCCACCAUCGUUGGUGCUUCUGGGUCGAAUCUGGCGUUGGUGGGUUGGAGCUCGAGCUAGAGGCCAAGACGGGGAAGGUUAGAAAAAUGAGAGACUGGAUGGAGGUGCUCGAGACCGAGGAAGCUGGAGAUGCACAAUUAGCUUCACUGGCCAUCCGGUGGUUGGAUCACGAGCCAAUUCUCUGGUCGCGAUGGGGUUGAGCUGCGCAGGAGGGGGAGGAGGCUGGCGACAGGGAACCGGGCCAGGGAGGAGGCAAGGAAGAACGCACAGUCUGCACUGGGGUAUAAAAUUAUCUACUACUCACCUUUGUGUCUCGACAUAUGCUUGUGAUGCAUCGUGCUACCAGAGGCCAACAUUAUCCAGUAUCAUAGCGAUGCUAAAAAUGCCUAUUGGUUACUCUGCAUAUUCUCAUCUGAUUUCUCAUAUAUAGAUAUUAAUUUCCUUUCAUGGGAGGCCUUCAUUACAUUUCAGCGGCGGUUGCGGAUGUGGUCGGCGGUUGAGGGAGGGUCUCCGACUAGAGCAGUAGGAGCAAGGAGCUCGAGGAAGUUCAGGUUUAUGGCUUCUCACGGGAUGUGAUUCUGGUCAUGCUGCCUGUUAUGAAGGUUGAGGCGAGCAUCAUGAAGAUGAGCAGGCGAGUGGCUGAUACAGAGAGCUCCUCGAACGGGGAAGUAGCAUUGCUGGAGGAACUCGAAGAUGAGCUAGUCAAUUUUGGCAUGUCCAGUUCAUGUAACCUUUGCAUCUUUACAUGUCUUUGCCUUACUGCCAUUUUAUAUUUGCUGCUUUGGGAUUAGGUUCCGAAGUCAUGCCUUUGCCUUACUAUUGUGCUAAUACUGGAUGCAACAUUGUGGACCUUUGGUUCGAGCAUGGCCAGCAUGGCCACGGAUUGUAGGGGACUUUCUUCGGAUCCUCUGUGCUUCCUAUCACAUCUAGCUUGGCCACCUACAGAUUCUUGGGUCCAGCGGGAAGUGUAACUCACAUUUUUAGAACACUGAUCCUUUAGGUUCCUGAUCUGAAGCAGAGGGAACACGAGAUCACAUUCGCAAAGUGGCGGAAGGGGCUGCAACGUUUUUCUUCAGUCUGAUAAUCAUAUAGUAAUUAGAUGGUGUAUUACUAUGGCGGUGGUAUACUGACUUGGUUUGAAGGGUUCUCUAGGCUUAAGAUCUUUCUAGGAUAAUUGCGUCAUUGAAUCUGAAGGUUAUGCGAUCUCCUGUGUUGCUGCAUGUUGAUCUUCUGUUUUGUUGUAACUCUGUUUUGCUGCUCGAGGACAAUUUCCUGGAUUAAUAUCUAUACUGGAGAUCUAGGAGUCCACCCGAAUUCAGUCUCCAUGAAGCCGUUCAUCCAGGAUCCACCAAAAUUCAAAUGAUAUGUGAAAAGCGUGUGCUAGAUGUGGCCCCUAUCCAGCGUUUUGAUCUGUCCACUCAGGUGCUUUUGUCUAGGUGGUAACACAACAAGCUGCUUAUCUUAUAGAAACUUAUUAUACGUACAGUCCUAUGUUCGUUCUGCUUGCAUGUUAGAGAAAGAGCUUCUGCCCCGAUGUGAGUAAUCCUAUGGGAAUUAGCAACGUUGGUUGUACUUUCAAGCAGGCAGAAUCCAAUGCAAGUUUUUGGAGCAGGCGACAUGUUCAACAGUUAGGUGUGGCGGAGAUGCGUAUGUUCAGAUGGAUGUGUGGCCACACGAGGAAGGAUCGAGUCCGGAAUGAUGAUAUACGAGAUAGAGUUGGGGUAGCACCAAU